UACGGAGGAUCCAAGCGUUAUCCGGAUUUAUUGGGUUUAAAGGGUGCGUAGGCGGCCUGUUAAGUCAGAGGUGAAAGACGGUAGCUCAACUAUCGCAGUGCCUUUGAUACUGACGGGCUUGAAUAAACUAGAGGUAGGCGGAAUGAGACAAGUAGCGGUGAAAUGCAUAGAUAUGUCUCAGAACACCGAUUGCGAAGGCAGCUUACUAUGGUUUUAUUGACGCUGAGGCACGAAAGCGUGGGGAUCAAACGGG
rnacentral:rRNA from 1 species